CGAACGCAUCACUUCGGUGAUGAGUGGCGAACGGGUGAGUAAAAGAUAAGGAACCUGCCCUAGGCAGGGGGAUAACGACCGGAAACGGACGCUAAAACCGCACAGGCUGGGAACUCGCAUGAGGAUCCAGUUAAAUAUCCUUUAGGGGAUAGGCAAAGGAGGGACUUAUCACGCAUUAGCUAGUUGGUGGGGUAACGGCCUACCAAGGCGACGAUGCGUAGCCGGCCUGAGAGGGCGGACGGCCACACUGGGACUGAGACACGGCCCAGACUCCUACGGGAGGCAGCAGUAGGGAAUUUUCGGCAAUGGGCGAAAGCCUGACCGAGCAACGCCGCGUGAACGAAGAAGGUCUUCGGAUUGUAAAGUUCUGUUAUAGAGGAAGAAUGGUGUACGAAGGAAAUGGCGUACAAAUGACGGUACUCUGUGAGGAAGCCACGGCUAACUACGUGCCAGCAGCCGCGGUAAUACGUAGGUGGCGAGCGUUAUCCGGAAUCAUUGGGCGUAAAGAGGGAGCAGGCGGCCUGGAGGGUCUAUUGUUAAAAGGCAAUGGCUUAACCAUUGUAAGGCGAAGAAACCGGCAGGUUGGGGUUUUAAAGGGGGAUCGUGGGAAUUCCAGGGGUGGCGGUGAAAUGCGUAGAUAUAGGGAGGAAACACCAGUGGGGAAGGCGACGAUCUGGGAAGAAACAGACGCUGAGUCCCGAAAGCGUGGGGAGCAAAUAGGAUUAGAUACCCUAGUAGUCCACGCCGUAAACGAUGAGUACUAAGUGUUGGGGGUCAAACCUCAGUGCUGUAGUUAACGCAAUAAGUACUCCGCCUGAGUAGUACGUUCGCAAGAAUGAAACUCAAAGGAAUUGACGGGGGCCCGCACAAGCGGUGGAGCAUGUGGUUUAAUUCGAAGCAACGCGAAGAACCUUACCAGGUCUUGACAUCGAUCUAAAGGCCCUAGAGAUAGGGAGAUAGUUAUAGAGAAGACAGGUGGUGCAUGGUUGUCGUCAGCUCGUGUCGUGAGAUGUUGGGUUAAGUCCCGCAACGAGCGCAACCCUUGUCGUUAGUUACCAGCAGUAAGAUGGGGACUCUAACGAGACCGCCGGUGAGAAGCCGGAGGAAGACGGGGAUGACGUCAAAUCAUCAUGCCCCUUAUGACCUGGGCGACACACGUGCUACAAUGGUCGGUACAGAGAGAAGCGAAGCUGUGAAGUGGAGCGAAACUCAAAAAGCCGAUCGUAGUCCGGAUUGCAGUCUGCAACUCGACUGCAUGAAGCUGGAAUCGCUAGU
rnacentral:rRNA from 1 species